UACAGAGGUCUCAAGCGUUGUUCGGAUUCAUUGGGCGUAAAGGGUGCGUAGGCGGCGCGGUAAGUCGGGUGUGAAAUCUUGGAGCUUAACUCCGAAACUGCAUUCGAUACUGCCGUGCUUGAGGACUGGAGAGGAGACUGGAAUUUACGGUGUAGCGGUGAAAUGCGUAGAUAUCGUAAGGAAGACCAGUGGCGAAGGCGGGUCUCUGGACAGUUCCUGACGCUGAGGCACGAAGGCGUGGGGAGCAAACAGG
rnacentral:rRNA from 1 species